CAGCCCGCCCCCCCGCUCACGGCCUCCGCCCGCCGCCCUGAGCGCCUGAGGGGGCCGCGGGCGGCCCGGCCCUGCGCGGAGAGGAGCCGGGCAUGCGGGCGGCGGGAGCGGGCCGGGAGGAGGAGGUGGGAUGCUGUCGCGGAAGAAGACGCGGACGGAGCUCUCGAAGCCGGGCGAGGUGCAGGGGAAAUACGUGAAGAAGGAGACCAGCCCGCUGCUCCGCAAUCUGAUGCCUUCCUUCAUCCGUCACGGUCCGACCAUUCCAAGACGAACUGAUGUCUGUCCUCCCGAGCCGAGCCCUUCUGCGUACGGCUCCGGUGGAGAUGGAGCUGUUUCCAGAAACCAGAGUUUCCUUCGAGCGCCGGUGCAGAGGCCGCCGCAUGAAAUAACGAGGCGCGAAAGCAACAGACUGUCUGCACCUUCCUACUUCGCUCGGAGUUUAGCCGACGUUGCUAGAGAAUAUGGCUCUUCCUCCCAGUCCUUUUUGACAGAACCUAAUUCCGUUAUGGAAAACGGAGAUGGCGGCGCGCGCUGUUACUAUUACGAUCACUUCUACGAUGCCCAGAGGAGACGUCAGUUAAAUGAUCGCUUGCACGAGGACUACAGGUAUUACGAGCACAGCGGUGAUCUUUUCCAGAGGAUGUCCCACAACCACGGGCGGCGCACCUCAGGCAUCGGGAGAGUUGCUGCUACGUCUCUAGGAAAUCUAACAAAUCAUAGCUCUGAAGACUUACCUCUGCCCCCCGGCUGGUCGGUGGACUGGACUAUUAGAGGAAGGAAGUACUACAUCGACCACAACACCAACACAACGCAUUGGAGCCAUCCCCUGGAGCGGGAGGGGCUGCCACCAGGCUGGGAGAGGGUUGAGUCAGCAGAAUUUGGAGUGUAUUAUGUGGAUCACAUCAAUAAAAGAGCUCAAUACAAACAUCCUUGCGCUCCCAGCGUUCCCCGUUACGACCAGCCUCCCCCGGUGACUUACCAGCCCCAGCAGGCGGAGAGAAGCCAGCCCCUCCUCGUCCCUGCAAACCCCUACCACACCGCAGAGAUUCCAGACUGGCUGCAGGUCUACGCCAGGGCUCCCGUCAAGCAGAAAGCGUAGCACUGAUGAUCUCAGUCUGGUCUGUUUUGGAAGAGAAUCCUUCCUCCAGAAGCUGCUGUUCAGCCCCUCCUGACAACCAGGCCCCUCGAGCAGCUCUCAUUAAACUCAAGUCCAGCUUGAAAAUCCUGACCAUGAACUCCUGUAAUCCUCUUAAUGGUUUUGAAACUGAACUCUUGACGAGCUGAUCAUUUUGAUUACAACACGUGCCAUGAUGGGAAAUGAGAGAUUUCACAUACUUUGUUCUCAUCCGAGCUGUUUAAAUGAGUGACUGGGAGCAGAGAUCUCGAAUGGCUUUGCCACAACAGAGGGAGCUGGCUGCUGCAGGUGAAAAGCACAAGGAAUUUCAGAAAAAAAUAUCACUGCCACACACUGCAGACCUUCAUCACACUACACCCACCGGGAUUCAGACCAGGUGAAAGCAGGAUCCCUUUCUCUGAUGAAAACACAGUGUGACUUCUCAGGCAGAGAGGCUGGAACUAGACGAUCCCUAAGCUCAAAUCCCACCCAAACCAUUCUACGAUUCCUUUCUAUGAUCCUAUGAUUUCUCCAUCCGCAGCUCUCCCAGCCACCCAUCCCACAACAAGCAGCAGCUGUAAGCUCUCCGCACCACUUGGCACGUUCAUAGGAGAGCCUCCAAUGAUGUGCAGCCUUAAUGCUGACCUCCUGCCCAGGGCUAAGCCCUGUGCUAGAUGCACAACGUGCUCCUGCAUGAGCAGGCGGGGAGGUAUGCAGGCAGCAAUAACACAGCCUUGACAGCUGACCAGAGGCAAUUCCUUCUGGGUGCCUUGCAAUCACUCACCCUAAUUCACUCUGUGAUCUCUAAAAAAGCAAUUUUUAUGAAACAAAGGUGAAGGAUUGCACUGAGCAGCUUUCAGGCCUGCCUAACAACUGGGAACUGGGACAAAGUUUGAACCGUUCCAAAACAGCGUCGUAUUUUUACUGACUGAACUUUCAGCCCGGACAGCCAGAGAUUGAGACUCCUCCUUCAGCAGACAGGCUGAGAAACGUGGCACUGGAAGUCACCCCAUGGACUGAUGUCACCGUGCAGGCAGCGGACAAAACCCAUCUUUCAGGCGACGAGGUGCUGUUGUAUACACGCAGGCAUCUACUAAAGGGGGCUGUUUUGUACUAAAAAAAUAGAGGCAUUUGGCUCUCUGACUUAUUGCAGUGUCAAGCAGGCUGGCAUAGCGCUGGGAAAUCACUCUAGGAAUACCCUGUGGGUGGAUGGAAGGCAGUCAGUCCAUGUGAGGUUCCAGAUUCUUGCAAGCUGACCUAGAAGCAGACCAGCGACAGACCACGUUUCACUCCAGCACGGCUUAGCAGUAUGUGCCUAAUUGCUUUGCUAGACCGAGGCUAUACCUCCUGGGAUGUUUUUUUUUUUCUCCGUUUCAAUCUGUUUUGACAUCAUGUGCGUUUUUUUCUCACGCUAUCAAGAUGCGAAGGCAAAGUGCAAGCGCACGUACGUGCGUGCAAUACUCAACCCGCACAGAAACGGGACCGACACUCGCGUGAGACGGAGCUGAGAAUGCCACAAUAUUCGCUGUGAGUUGUCUGCCCCGUUCACCCGAGGUCUGAGCGCCUUCCUGCAGAGUCACGGUUACACGCGGCCCUUAUCAAGAGCGUGCUGCUUAUUUCCUCCUGUGCACAGAGCACGGCGUGCUCCGCUUGCUUCAAUCACAGCCUCCGUUAUCUGCGUGCUUCUGCAAACAUGUCCCCGAGCCGUUAAUCAUUACCAUGGGAAAUACUCCGCUCAUCUAUCCAAAUUAGAACCUAAUUUGUGUAUCUAAACAUCAGGGCUCCGCUCACCUGCAGACGGGUGCUGUGAGCUCUGAUGCCUUAGUAUGCCGCACGGAACACGAGGAAUGACACAUCACGCUUUCUGCAGCCUUAAAUAGGAGCAGUACGCCGUUUGAGCUGAAUCUCCACCAAGUGUGGAAGGCGGGCUGGGACCCAUCCAGAUGAACGAUGCUGCAUAAAAGCACAUUCCUCAACGUGCUUGACCAGCAGAGCAAGGUGGUUCCGGGUGGUAAAUGCAGAACGGAGAUCGACAUGUGCUCAAGAGGCUGUGCCUGGGAGGAUGCAGUGUCAUGCCAUGUCUUGGGCUGAAUGCUUCACACAUCUCGCUUACCCCCGUUCUUGCAGUCAUAGAAUGGCUCUAUCAAUAGACUUGGUGCUGCUGUUACUGAUCUACACUUUCCAGUGGCGCUUCCAGGAGGGACUGAGACCCAGCUGGGGAAGGUGGAACAAAGCACAGAUCAUAAGGCAGCCAUGGAGCUCACAACAUGGGCAACACGCUCCAGGAAACCAAACCUCCGAGUGGGAAGCGAAGGGUAACCCAGAAAGGACAAAGAAGGAGCCCUUGCAUUACACUGCAGAGCCCUUGGAUCCACAAAAUGGUGUAGGAGGCCAAGUCUUAAUGCACCAUCUGCUACUGGAAAAUGAAACGGCCUUUCCUGUGCUGUCAUCUGAUGGCUUGACGGGAGCAGAAAAUCUGUAAAAUGAAAAGUGGUGUUCAAACAUUCAGCUGAGGAAGAGGAAAAAACCAGAAAGGACACAAACAGCUCGCUAUCAGGAGCGCAGGAAGCUAAUUUAUAGGGGAGAGGUAAUUGUUUUGUUGGAAAUCGCUAGAGGAAAUACAGCCCUCUGAAGGGUAAA